rnacentral:rRNA from 1 species
UGCAGAGGGGGGCAAGCGUUGUUCGGAAUUACUGGGCGUAAAGGGCUCGUAGGCGGCCAACUAAGUCAGACGUGAAAUCCCCAGGCUUAACCUGGGAACUGCGUCUGAUACUGGAUGGCUUGAAUUCGGGAGAGGGAUGCAGAAUUCCAGGUGUAGCGGUGAAAUGCGUAGAUAUCUGGAGGAAUACCGGUGGCGAAGGCGGCAUCCUGGACCGACAUUGACGCUGAGGAGCGAAAGCUAGGGGAGCAAACGGG